UCUCCCCCCCCCAACCAACUAUCCGAAGACCCCCGACAGGCCAUGAAAUCCUCACACGUCUCACUUACUGGAAGUUGCGGCAGGACGGAGCUAAGUGUCAGCCUCGGUACGUCUGCAGCGGAGCGAUAUCCUUCACCGCCUCAGCGCCAAAACACGGCAAGCCUCAUAUCACGACUGCUUCCUCACUGGGACCAGGACUCCAAUUCCCAGGACAAUUCCCAGGGUCCAAUGGCAUGAGAAGGCCAAACAAACGUCAGACAAGCCGAGGAGAGGAUUCUUCAAUCCAUGAUUACAUAUUUUGGGUUUUAUCUUUUUGCUUUCCGCAUUGCACAGUUGCAAGGCAUGCUGUCACGUAUGCUAGCAACAUGCAGACUACUAGCGCUCAGCUCAGUGUGCUCUUCAUGUGCUUUCUGUUCUUUCAAGGAUGACAGUUUGUUUUGAGAAAAACGCACACACAAAGAGGACAUGCAUACAGCGUGUGCUAAGACUACAGAGUGCUAAGUUGUGGCUACUUGCUGGAAAACAAAACGCCAGAAUGGUUCGCUGUUUGUUAAACCACGCUGUUUUUUUUGUUUCCUCUGCCAACACAAGGAAUUCUCCAGAGACUGUAGCUAAAACACAGCCCUCCUGGAGCUGUGGAAGUCAUUUGUGAGUUCAGAAGAUAAUAAAGCUAAAGGGAACAGCCUGGAAACUGGACAGUGGAAAAAGGCACAUUUGUACCUAGGAUAAACUUUUUGCAGGAAUGUUUAUGAAAAGGGAAAAAGACUCUUGACAUUUCACUUGUUUCAUGAUUCAUGUCAUCCCGUUCUAUCUGCGAGGCUUUUCUUGUUUAACAUGAGGGGUUGUCAGUGUGAUGCAUUCACAAGCCUCCGACCCCAGAAUCUGCUCCUUUCCUUAAAUCUUUCUUUUUUUUUCUUCCUCACUGCUCACUCUCAGCCUUUGAGGACCUGUUUGGAAUAUGCAAGGAAUGUGGGGGAGGUUGAGAUCUAUAGAAUGUAUUGUGCCAAGCUUCUUAAUGUAGUUUAUUCUGGGGAAUCGAACUAACACAUCGAAUUUGUUUUCUCUGUUAAUCUAGUCAUAUGGAUUAACAUUGUGCUUACUUGCAUCUAUGUAUACUGCCAUUGUUUUUUUUUCUCUUUUUUUAUUUUAAUGAUUUUAGGUACAUGAAACAUGUCAUUUAUUUAUGGUCUUUUUUAUCUAGUUUGUAAAUUGUAAAAUAGAAAUAUGAGGGGAAAAUAAAUGAUUGCCAAGUGCAUUGUAA